UGUAAGCGUAUACCAAAGUUGUUGCAGUUAAAACGCUCGUAGUCGGAAUUUGGCAGUUCCGGAAGUGUGCACGUCGUGUGCGCACUUUGCGGGGACUGCUUUUGUGGUCUUGCGUAGGAUGAGGCACUUUCAUUAGUGAACGUCCUCACGCAACCACUCUUUACUGUGAGAAAAUCAGAGUGCUCAAAGCAGGCAUUUGCCGUGAAUGUAUUAGCAUGGAAUGAUAGAAUAGGACUCGGUUCUAUUUUGUUGGUUUGUUGGGACUGAGUAAUGAUUAAGAGGGACAGUUGGGGGCAUUUGUAUUCCGGCGCUAGAGGUGAAAUUCUUAGAUUGCCGGAAGACAAACUGCUGCGAAAGCGUCUGCCAAGGAUGUUUUCAUUGA
rnacentral:rRNA from 1 species